GACGAACGCUGGCGGCGUGCCUAAUACAUGCAAGUAGAACGCAGUUGCGAACGGGUGAGUAACGCGUAGGUAACUGCCUGGUAGCGGGGGAUAACUAUUGGAAACGAUAGCUAAUACCGCAUACUACCCGAUGGACCUGCGUUGUAUUAGCUCGUUGGUGGGGUAACGGCUCACCAAGUGAACGAUACAUAGCCGACCUGAGAGGGGGUACGGCCACACUGGGACUGAGACACUGCCCAGACGUCUACGGGGAGCAGCAGUAGGGAAUCUUCGGAAAUGGACGGAAGUCUGACCGAGCAACGCCGGGUGAGUGAAGAAGGUUUUCGGAUCGUAAAGCUCAGUUGUAAGAGAAGCGGUAUCUUACCAGAAAGGGACGGCUAACUACGUGCCAGCAGCCGCGGUAAUUC
rnacentral:rRNA from 1 species